rnacentral:rRNA from 1 species
UAAUACAGAGGGGGCAAGCGUUGUCCGGAAUUACUGGGCGUACAGCGCGCGCAGGCGGACCGCCACGUGCCGUGUGACAAGCCACUGCUCAACAGUGGAGGGCCAGGGUACACGAGCGGUCUGGAGGCAGGGAGAGGGAUGUGGAAUGCCCGGUGGAGCGGUGAAAUGCGUAGAGAUCGGGCGGAACACCAGCGGCGAAGGCGGCAUCCUGGUCCUGUUCUGACGCUGAGGCGCGAGAGCGUGGGGAGCGAACUGGAUUAGAUACCCAGGUAGUCCACGCCGUAAACGAUGUGUACCCGGCGCUGGGGAGUGAUUGCGCUCCUCGGUGCCUCAGCUUACGCAGUGAGUACACCGCCUGGGGACUACGGCCGCAAGGCUA